CAGGCGGGGCCAGUCCGGGCGUGCAGUGGCCGGAUGUUGUUGCGCCGGGCCCGGGGGCUGCCGGGGGCGCGCCGGGGGGAGCCCCCGGAUGGCACCGGCAGCCGCGGGGGGGUGCUGGGGGCAGGGUCCCCCCACUCCCACCCCACCAACACCUCCAGCAUUCGGGAGCGCUCGGACACGCCGGCAAAGGACAGCGGCACCUCGGGCACCGCAGGGAGCAAUGGCAGCGUGGGGGGGACCCGAGGUGACGAGGGGCUUCCCCCUCCACCGACCCACUGCUGCGGGACCGGCUGCCCCAACUGCGUGUGGAUCGGGUACGUGGAGGAGCUGCUGCAGCGGUACCGGGACGGCGGGACCCGCGCCCUGGCGGCCGUGGAGGAGCACGUGGAGGACGAGAGCAUUAAAGCGAUCCUCAGGAUGGAGAUCAGGCUGCGCAUGGGGAAGGACUGAGCAUCCCCUGGCCCCCCCAAAGCCGAUGGGGACCCCCCCCAAGGGAGCCUCUGCUCCAGUUGCCUUUGUUUCCAUGUUAAACCCCAUCAGUUUGGCUCAGCACAUCCCUGCUCCAUCCUGCCCAUGUGGGCUGGGGGCUCGGAGGCUCCUGGCCAUCGGGAUGAGCUUCCCCACGGAGCCACCAAGCCCUGGGGCAGCGCUGAGGACGCCCAAGCUGGAGGCAGCAGUUGGCACCAGGGCCCUGCUCCGUGCCACAGGAGUGGCCGGUUCUGCCGGCUUCAUAGGAAACGCUCCCAGAUCCCUGUAAUCCUAUUUGUUGGAGUGCAACUAAUUGCAAUUAGUGGCAGGGGCUGAAGUUCAAUUAAAGUGUACUGAGAUUA